AUACGUAGGUGGCAAGCGUUGUCCGGAAUUAUUGGGCGUAAAGCGCAUGUAGGCGGUAAUUUAAGUCUGUCGUGAAACUGCGGGGCUCAGCCCCGUAUGGCGAUGGAAACUGGGUUACUUGAGUGCAGGAGAGGAAAGGGGAACUCCCAGUGUAGCGGUGAAAUGCGUAGAUAUUGGGAAGAACACCGGUGGCGAAGGCGCCUUUCUGGACUGUGUCUGACGCUGAGAUGCGAAAGCCAGGGUAGCGAACGGGAUUAGAUACCCCGGUAUUCCUGGCCGUAAACGAUGGGUACUAGGUGUGGGAGGUAUCGACCCCUUCCGUGCCGGAGUUAACGCAAUAAGUACCCCGCCUGGGGAGUACGGCCGCAAGGCUUAAACUCAAAGGAAUUGACGGGG
rnacentral:rRNA from 1 species